GAAGCAGUGCUGCCAGAUUUUGAGCGUACAAAAAUGCUAGAUUUCACAAAAAUGAAAGCUAGAACAAGCUACAAAUUGUAAAAAAUAGGCUACAAAUAAAACAGCACACAGAUAUAUAGAUUUCUAGUUGUGUCUUUAUUUCAUCUAUUUCGCUUUAACUCGAAUCGGUAUAUUUAUCGCUGGAACGUAUUAAAUUUAAAUAUAUCCCGGUAAUUGGUAGUUGGACAGGACGGCGCGAAAUUUAAAAUUCCAAUUUCAAAUGAAGCUAUUUCUUCAAAAGCUAGAUCGACACCUAUCCAGAUGACCCCACUGUUUAUGAAGACAUAUCAAACAAUAUAUUUGACUAAGAAAUGGAGUUGCGUGUUCCCAUCUGUUCAGCGGUCGCCACCUCCUCCAAUAGAUACUUCACCGUAUCUGAAACCAGACCACACUUCCAUAUUACCAACCCUUUAAUGACACACACAAAUCUUACAGAGUUUACAAAAGCCAUACUGGCGUUGGAGGUGUUUCUUUAUUAUGAUUAAUUUAAUUGUCUUUCGAACAUGUUCUUUUAAUUGAAUCAGGCUACAAAUAAAAUACAUGAACUGCGAAAAGUAUACAGUUUUAAUAAAUCUACAAUAUGUAAUUAACGUAAUUUGUUUUCUACUCUAAUAAAGGUAGGUGUUUAUGUAAGUAUGUAUGUAUAGAAAGCCAAAUAUCAAUACCGAAUAACCAUACAAAAUCAAUAGCUUUCUGUUAUAAAAAUGUAUACAUCAUUUAGAUGUGUUGUGCUUCUGUAUGGUAUGUGUUGAAAUGAAUUUAAUUCAGCCUCAUUAAUAGUUCUUAACAUCGUCUAGCAUUCGGGAAUUGAUUGUUAUAUACAUAACUAAAGAUGUAUAUGCCGGAAGUACUAACAGGUAAGCGACACCUUCAAGAGACAAUGCCAAAAUGCACAUAAGAAAUGCAUAAACAGAUUGAAGUAAUUAAAAUUAGAAUUGCCACAGCUACGAACAUAUAUUGACCGCUGUGCAGCGGCAUUCAAGGUAUGUAAAUUCUGCACUUGACUUACUAUUAUUCGAUUCGUUAACUUAUACAAAUUUCAUCAGUUUCUUAAGUCUUGCUGUUUAAAACACAACGCAUUCUUUGAAAAAAUAGCAGCCAACUAGUAAGGGUAUACUAGUAGCAUUAGGGUUGAUGAUGCUUUUCUGUUGUUAAUGGACUUGACAUGCAUAAGGUAAAAAAUGACGCAAGCAAAAUGUAAAAAAAUCGUUUUAACUAUAUAUAUAAUAUAUAUUCUUAACGAAGAGUUGUUUUCAACUU